AUCCAACACAGGCCUGGAUAGAAGGUGUGCAAUAUCCAAGCUUUCCAUCAGGUGGUUCCCCACUUCUUGAUGCCACGAUCCAAAAAUCAGGCAAGUCCACUCCAUAUGCUUAUUCAAAGUGGAAGUAACUAUAUAGAGUGUAGGCUCAGGGGUCCACAAUGCUUACAUGAAUGCAUGAUCAAAGCUGCUCAUCAGUUUUAUCCUUGAAGAAAAAGGGAAGAAAAAUCUGUCCACAUAUUAAAAAAAAUAAAAUUCCAUAGCUAUUCUCCUCCAUCUGCUAGUUACAGGUGGAGCAUUGGUAACAGAGGGGGGCUUUGCUGCUUCAUAUGGGGAUGGAUAUGGACUUCAUUCGGGUGGUGCUGACAAAGGUCCUCUAUAUGGCAUGAGUUCUAGUUCUUGGGGUGCAUUUAAGAAGUCUGGCCUCGGGCGUCGCUGAAGUCUGUUGAUUUUUUUUUCCUUCUGCUUUUCCUUGUGUCUCAAUCAGUAAAUUUUUUGUCCAUUAUGUAACCUUUCAUUCUCAGGCCCCUUGUAAAUGAGGCUGGUUGUAAAUGAUUUACAGGUUGUGUUUGAAUACUAAUUUAAGCCUGCAAAGGUCUUUUGAUUUAGAA